rnacentral:ncRNA from 1 species
UAAUGAGCGAUGAAAAAGAAGAGUAAAUGCUGUUCCUUCUAUAGAGAGUCUGUGGCUGGUGGAAACAGAUGAAGUGCAGCAUUGAAUGGGCUUUUGAGCUGAACCGGUGAAGUAACAGUAGCCGGUUUCGUGUUCUUCACGUUAUGAAGAAGAGUGGCCGGUGACGGCAACUAGGGUGGUACCGCGGAAAGACACAUCAUUCGUCCCUUUU